rnacentral:rRNA from 1 species
GAUGAACGCUGGCGGCGUGCCUAAUACAUGCAAGUCGAGCGAACAGAUAAGGAGCUUGCUCCUUUGACGUUAGCGGCGGACGGGUGAGUAACACGUGGGUAACCUACCUAUAAGACUGGGAUAACUUCGGGAAACCGGAGCUAAUACCGGAUAACAUUUGGAACCGCAUGGUUCUAAAGUGAAAGACGGUUUUGCUAUCACUUAUAGAUGGACCCGCGCCGUAUUAGCUAGUUGGUAAGGUAACGGCUUACCAAGGCGACGAUACGUAGCCGACCUGAGAGGGUGAUCGGCCACACUGGAACUGAGACACGGUCCAGACUCCUACGGGAGGCAGCAGUAGGGAAUCUUCCGCAAUGGGCGAAAGCCUGACGCAGCAACGCCGCGUGAGUGAUGAAGGGUUUCGGCUCGUAAAACUCUGUUAUUAGGGAAGAACAAACGUGUAAGUAACUGUGCACGUCUUGACGGUACCUAAUCAGAAAGCCACGGCUAACUACGUG